AGUUACAGAUAGUUGUUAGCAGCUAUGUGGAUGCUGGGAAUCAAACCCAGGUCCUCUGUAAGAGCUUUUAAAUGCUGAGCC
rnacentral:miRNA from 1 species